rnacentral:tRNA from 1 species
GUCGAUAUGUCCGAGUGGUUAAGUAGACAGACUCGAAAUCUGUUGGGCUUUGCGUGCGCAGGUUCGUAUCCUGCUGUCGACG